AACGCGUGGGAAUCUACCUUUUGGUACGGAAUAGCUCCGGGAAACUGGAAUUAAUACCGUAUGUGUCCUUCGGGAGAAAGAUUUAUCGCCAAGAGAUGAGCCCGCGUUUGAUUAGGUAGUUGGUGGGGUAAUGGCCUACCAAGCCGACGAUCAAUAGCUGGUCUGAGAGGAUGAUCAGCCACAUUGGGACUGAGACACGGCCCAAACUCCUACGGGAGGCAGCAGUGGGGAAUAUUGGACAAUGGGCGCAAGCCUGAUCCAGCCAUGCCGCGUGAGUGAUGAAGGCCCUAGGGUUGUAAAGCUCUUUCGCCGGUGAAGAUAAUGACUGUAGCCGGUAAAGAAGCCCCGGCUAACUUCGUGCCAGCAGCCGCGGUAAUACGAAGGGGGCUAGCGUUGUUCGGAAUUACUGGGCGUAAAGCGCACGUAGGCGGACAUUUAAGUCAGGGGUGAAAUCCCGGAGCUCAACUCCGGAACUGCCUUUGAUACUGGGUGUCUCGAGUAUGGAAGAGGUAAGUGGAAUUGCGAGUGUAGAGGUGAAAUUCGUAGAUAUUCGCAGGAACACCAGUG
rnacentral:rRNA from 1 species